rnacentral:lncRNA from 10 species
UGUAGUUUUCGCCUGUCCAGGACGCCUUCACCCCUGCUUCCUUUGAGAAAAGUCCCUCUCCCACUCCAAGUGGUACUGACGGGGAUCACCCACACAAAAGAAACCUGGAGGCUCCCCUCCUGGGGCACCCGGCUUCUGCUCCAACCAGGUUUCAACAGAAAAUGAGAAAUAUCCCCCGACGAUUGGCUGAAAACAUGCAGCAACCACUAUUUUCUUCCUGCCCCUCGUUGAUGAGAGCAUUCGAAGUGACCUCAGCAGGGCAUCCAGAUCAAUUAUGCAGCUACAGCCAAAACCAAGUUCUUUUUAUUGCAAUGGUAAUGAAAGGAGCCCCGUGUAAGUCACUGGAAGGUCACAUGUUCACAGACUGUCAGCUGUGGAGGGUUAUGUAACAGUGGUUAUGCAAUGCCACGUUAGAACUACAGCC